rnacentral:misc_RNA from 1 species
CCUGAUCAGGCGAUGUGUGCU